CAUUUCUCUCUGCGUCUUGCCUUGCGACCUUGGCAGCAGUUUAAGUUUAUCUGUGUUGUUUGUUUGUGUUUUAGAAUUUCUGAGGUUAAUAAGAAUGGAGAAGAAGGGGGAAGUUUCCGGCGAGAAGAAAAACAAACAAGAGCUUCACGAAAAGAUGUGCUUCGUAUGCAAAGACACGUUUGGGUUUGAGAAAGGGGGUUUUCGCCCCUGUGAUUACCCGUAAUUAUCAUAUAUAUAUAUAUAUAUAUUGUUUUUAUUUGUGGUUUGAAUCCCUUUGUGGGCGUGAAAAUCUGUGUCAUUUGGGAGCUGUAUUGUAUUUGUUUGCAUAUAUCACUGCUUGAUUUUGCCUUUCUGGUAUCUUAAUCUGUUGUGCCCUAUCAACAAUCUUUACCUAAUUUUUAAAUCUCAUGUUAAAUGUUAGUGCUAGUUAAUUUAGUGAUUUUUGGCUUUUUGGGGAUUAGCAGCUCCAACCCACUGCAAAAAUGUGACGGAUUGCCCAAAAUUUAGGGGGGGAGGGUCCCCCGUUCAUGCCGGGGUACAAUGUUACUUUAUUUUUGGAGUAAUACUGUAGAUUUUAUUUUUGGAGUGGAGUUUGUGUGAUGUUUUGUGGUAUUUGUGUAUUUUUGUUAUUUUUUAAAAAAAUGAUACGUGAUUUUACUUUUAAAAAAAAUAAUGUAUAAUUUUUUAUUUUUUUUAAGUAAUAUAAUUUUACCUUUGGAAAAGUGAUAUAUAAUGUGUAAUUAUGUAUAUUUGGAUUAUAUUGCAAAAAUAAAUUAAAAUUAGGGUGUAAUUUAUAAAUAUAAAAAGGUUAUAUAAAAUAAUAUAAAAGAAGAAUACACAGGAAAUAAUAUCAACUGCAUUUUUACUGGAAAUUUUUUUUUUGCCUAUUUUAUAGAUUGUAUGUUUUAAGGAUAUAAGAUUCCAAGUUUGAAAACAUGAUGGAGUGAGUGUGGGAAGAAGUUUGGCAUAUGCAGUUUGGAUUGUGUGUGUUUAAGGUUAUCCAUAUGGGGUGGUUGUUGUUGGUGCAGCUAGAUGUAAGAUUUUUUUGAGCACUUUUUAUUUUGUCGAUUUUAUGGCAGUUAAUGCUUUCGUAAAGAUAUUUUUUGGUUUUUUCUAGACUGAUGGUGAUUCGGUGAAUGCUAGAUUGUUUUGUCGAUUUAAGAUUAUUCUCACACUUUUUAUUUUGUUGAUUUUUAUGUCAGUCAAAGAGUUUUCCUGUUUCUUCUAGAUCAAUAAUGAUGUGAUGAAUGCUAGUAUGUUUUUGUCAUUUUAGAUCAGGUACGUUUAUUUUGUCAUUUAUAUGUCGGUUGCAUAACGAGUGUAUUUUUUUUUUUUUGUCUAGAUUGUUUUGUCUGAGCACAUUUUUAUUUUGACAAUUUUAUAUCGGUUACCGCAAUCAUAAAGAGUUUUCUUGUUUACUUUAUGAUCGAUCAUUUAUAAUAAUAGUUCUAGCUAACAUAUUCUCAACGUCUACAUGAAUCAUCAAUAACGUAUAUGUAUCUCUUUCGGGGGUUGUUGGAAAGUUUACCAUGGAUAUUGUAUGAACAAGGAUGCAUCAUUUUGGGAAAGCGAACAGAAAUGGGAAUGUGAUCGACACACUUGCUACAAUUGCAGCGAAGCUUCUGCCUUCUUUUGCUACACCUGCAAAUAUGCAGUCUGCCCGCGCUGCGUUUAUGAUUCAGAUUUUUCACAAGUUAAAGGGAGAUAUGGAUUUUGCAGUACUUGCCUAGAUAUUGUUCAGAUUCUCAACGAGGACGGGAAAGGUUACCAUUAUUAUUACUUCGAUCCGUAUAGCCCCGAGGGUUUAUUUGAGAGUUAUUUCAAAAUCCAUAAAAAAGAAGUAGGACUUCAUUCAAGAGAUAUCCUGGCUGCGAAAAUUCGGGCAUGUUAUUCACAAAACAAUAAUAACAAACGGAAAAGGGAGCCGGAGGAAGAAACAGAGAAUAAAGCUCGGAAGAAAGAUGAAGAUUCUGUUCCCCUCCCUCUAUGUGAUGCAGCAAUUGUACCGAAGAACAUCGAACUUUUGUACUUGAAGAAAGGUUUGGUACGCGAACUCCUUAAGCAGCCUGAAUCCUUUGAAGAGAAGGUUGUCGGCUGCUAUGUCCGUAUCAUUUUAAAUCCCAAAGAUCGGCGUUCGCUGCAUUCUUUCAAGCUCAUGCAGAUCCAAGGCGUCAAAAACCUCCCAAAUGGUGAAAGUAAUGAUGAGACUGUUCUUCAGUUCGCUGAUGUACCCGAAGAAACUUCCAUCAAUAACUUAUCGGAGGAGGAUUUCACCGAGGAAGAAUGUGAAGUUUUGAGGAAGAAAGUCGUAUCCGGUCAGCUAGAAAGGCCAACGCUCACUGAUACGGAAAAGAAGGCGAAGCUUAUUGUCAAGGAUCGAAUGAAUUAACAAGAUCACUGACGAGCUGGCCUUGCUGCAGAAACUCAUGGAUCGCGCCAAUGAGAAAGGGUGGAGGGAAGAAUAUCCUUUCAUAAUUAUUCGCCAUUGUCGUUUCAUUACCCGAAUUAACUUUCAUUUUCCUUACUUUCUUCGAGUACAUUGACAGGAGAAGUAUCCUACGGGACCCUUUAGAAAAGCAGAAGAUGCUCGAAUAUGUUCCCGAAAUUGUAAACUACAUAGUCGAGCCUGGUGCUAUUUUCGGGCCGGAUGACUGAUGUGCUAAAGUGGCCAAGGAUCGUUAUUCUGCAUCAAACCUUUCCAUUAAUGCAGUGGAUAAGACUGCUUUGAUCAGAUGGAUGAGAGCUUUGAUCAGAUAAAACACGUUUGGUCAGAUAAAAUAGAUGGAUGAGACGCUUUGGUCAAUAAAACAGGUGAAUGUGACUCAAC